GAUAAACGCUGGCGGCGUGCCUAAUACAUGCAAGUCGAGCGAACAGACGAGGAGCUUGCUCCUCUGACGUUAGCGGCGGACGGGUGAGUAACACGUGGAUAACCUACCUAUAAGACUGGGAUAACUUCGGGAAACCGGAGCUAAUACCGGAUAAUAUAUUGAACCGCAUGGUUCAAUAGUGAAAGACGGUUUUGCUGUCACUUAUAGAUGGAUCCGCGCCGCAUUAGCUAGUUGGUAAGGUAACGGCUUACCAAGGCAACGAUGCGUAGCCGACCUGAGAGGGUGAUCGGCCACACUGGAACUGAGACACGGUCCAGACUCCUACGGGAGGCAGCAGUAGGGAAUCUUCCGCAAUGGGCGAAAGCCUGACGGAGCAACGCCGCGUGAGUGAUGAAGGUCUUCGGAUCGUAAAACUCUGUUAUUAGGGAAGAACAAAUGUGUAAGUAACUAUGCACGUCUUGAUGGUACCUAAUCAGAAAGCCACGGCUAACUACGUG
rnacentral:rRNA from 1 species